rnacentral:lncRNA from 1 species
UAGAUUCAGACUUGCAGUCGAGCUAUAUUGAGGACCCUGCCAAUGGGGGCUAAUACAUUGGUACCGCAAGAAGAAUAGUCGGUGAUAUGACCCUGCCACAGGGAACAUGUGGUCAUAGUCCUUGGCUGUUGAGUUGAAUCUGGUAAAUUGAAAGAGGUUAAGAUAUGAACGAUAUUUGGUUUUGACUCUGUAUGUUUUUAUAACUGAAAUAUGAAAUAGAGAACUAAUUGAACUAUCGACCUGGCUAUGUUGAGGACCCCGCCAAUGGGGGCAGAUACGUUGGCAAUUGACUGUCCUGNNN